UUCAUCAAGGUUAGGGGCUUUCAUCAAGGUUAGGGGCUUUCAUCAAGGUCAGGGGCUUUCAUCAAGGUUAGGGGCUUUCAUCAAGGUUAGGGCUUUCAUCAAGGUCAGGGGCUUUCAUCAAGGUUAAGGGCUUCAUCAAGGUUAGGGGCUUUCAUCAAGGUUAAGGGCUUCAUCAAGGUUAGGGGCUUUCAUCAAGUUUAGGGACUUCAUCAAGGUUGGGGGCUUCAUCAAGGUUAGGGCUUUCAUCAAGGUUAGGGGCUUUCAUCAAGGUCAGGGGCUUUCAUCAAGGUCAGGGGCUUUCAUCAAGGUUAGGGCUUUCAUCAAGGUUAGGGGCUUCAUCAAGGUUAGGGGCUUUCAUCAAGGUUAAGAGCUUCAUCAAGGUUAGGGGCUUUCAUCAAGUUUAGGGACUUCAUCAAGGUUAGGGGCUUCAUCAAGGUUAGGGGCGUUCAUCAAGGUUAGGGCGUUCAUCAAGGUUAGGGGCUUCAUCAAGGUUAGGGGCUUCAUCAAGGUUAGGGGCUUCAUCAAGGUUAGUGUUUCUGUAGGUUGGGGGGCUUUCAUCAAGGUCAGUGUUUCUGUAGGUUGGGGGCUUUCAUCAAGGUGUUUCUUUAAGUUGGGGGCUUUCAUCAAGGUUAGUGUUUCUUUAGGUUGGGGGCUUUCAUCAAGGUUAGUGUUUCUUUAGGUUGGGGGCUUUCAUCAAGGUUAGUGUUUCUGUAGGUUGGGGGCUUUCAUCAAGGUUAGUGUUUCUGUAGGUUGGGGGCUUUCAUCAAGGUUAGUGUUUCUGUAGGUUGGGGGCUUUCAUCAAGGUCAGUGUUUCUGUAGGUUGGGGGCUUUCAUCAAGGUUAGUGUUUCUAUAGGUUGGGGGCUUCAUCAAGGUUAGUGUUUCUAUAGGUUGGGGGCUUCAUCAAGGUUAGUGUUUCUGUAGGUUGGGGGCUUUCAUCAAGGUUAGUGUUUCUGUAGGUUGGGGGCUUCAUCAAGGUUAGUGUUUCUAUAGGUUGGGGGCUUUCAUCAAGGUUAGUGUUUCUUUAGGUUGGGGGCUUUUAUCAAGGUUAGGGGCUUUCAUCAAGGUUAGUGUUUCUGUAGGUUGGGGGCUUUCAUCAAGGUUAGUGUUUCUUUAGGUUGGGGGCUUUCAUCAAGGUUAGUGUUUCUUUAGGUUGGGGGGCUUUCAUCAAGGUUAGUGUUUCUUUAGGUUGGGGGCUUUCAUCAAGGUUAGUGUUUCUAUAGGUUGGGGGCUUCAUCAAGGUUAGUGUUUCUGUAGGUUGGGGGCUUUCAUCAAGGUCAGUGUUUCUAUAGGUUGGGGGCUUCAUCAAGGUUAGUGUUUCUAUAGGUUGGGGGCUUUCAUCAAGGUUAGUGUUUCUUUAGGUUGGGGGCUUUCAUCAAGGUUAGUGUUUCUUUAGGUUGGGGGCUUCAUCAAGGUUAGUGUUUCUGUAGGUUGGGGGCUUUCAUCAAGGUUAGUGUUUCUGUAGGUUGGGGGCUUUCAUCAAGGUUAGUGUUUCUGUAGGUUGGGGGCUUCAUCAAGGUUAGUGUUUCUGUAGGUUGGGGGCUUCAUCAAGGUUAGUGUUUCUGUAGGUUGGGGGCUUUCAUCAAGGUUAGUGUUUCUGUAGGUUGGGGGCUUUCAUCAAGGUUAGUGUUUCUGUAGGUUGGGGGGCUUUCAUCAAGGUUAGUGUUUCUGUAGGUUGGGGGCUUUCAUCAAGGUUAGUGUUUCUGUAAGUUGGGGGGCUUUCAUCAAGGUUAGUGUUUCUGUAAGUUGGGGGCUUUCAUCAAGGUUAGUGUUUCUGUAGGUUGGGGGCUUUCAUCAAGGUUAGUGUUUCUUUAGGUUGGGGGGCUUUCAUCAAGGUCAGUGUUUCUUUAGGUUGGGGGGCUUUCAUCAAGGUCAGUGUUUCUUUAGGGUGGGGGGCUUCAUCAAGGUUAGUGUUUCUGUAAGUUGGGGGGCUUUCAUCAAGGUUAGUGUUUCUGUAGGUUGGGGGCUUUCAUCAAGGUUAGUGUUUCUGUAAGUUGGGGGGCUUUCAUCAAGGUUAGUGUUUCUGUAAGUUGGGGGGCUUUCAUCAAGGUUAGUGUUUCUGUAGGUUGGGGGCUUUCAUCAAGGUUAGUGUUUCUGUAAGUUGGGGGCUUUCAUCAAGGUUAGUGUUUCUGUAAGUUGGGGGGCUUUCAUCAAGGUUAGUGUUUCUUUAGGGUGGGGGCUUCAUCAAGGUUAGUGUUUCUGUAAGUUGGGGAGCUUUCAUCAAGGUUAGUGUUUCUUUAGGGUGGGGGCUUCAUCAAGGUCAGUGUUUCUGUAAGUUGGGGAGCUUUCAUCAAGGUCAGUGUUUCUUUAGGGUGGGGGGCUUCAUCAA